CCUACGGGAGGCAGCAGUGGGGAAUAUUGGGCAAUGGGCGCAAGCCUGACCCAGCAACGCCGCGUGAAGGAAGAAGGCUUUCGGGUUGUAAACUUCUUUUAUCAGGGACGAAGCAAGUGACGGUACCUGCUGAAUAAGCCACGGCUAACUACGUGCCAGCAGCCGCGGUAAUACGUAGGUGGCAAGCGUUAUCCGGAUUUACUGGGUGUAAAGGGCGUGUAGGCGGGAGUGCAAGUCAGAUGUGAAAACUAUGGGUUCAACCCAUAGCCUGCAUUUGAAACUGUAAUUCUUGAGUGCUGGUGAGGCAAUGCGAAGUCCGUGUGUAGCGGUGAAAAGCGUAGAUAUACGGAGGAACACCAGUGGCGGAGGCGAGCUACUGGAACAUUACUGACGCUCAUGCACGAAAGCGUGGGGAGCAAACAGGAUUAGAUACCCCGGUAGUC
rnacentral:rRNA from 1 species